UUGUUCUUUUACUCCGCCUGUCCAAAACUGUUUUACCAGGCAUUCCACAAAUGUUUCUAAAUGACUUCUGCAGAUUUCUAAAAACUUAUACUGCCUCUUUUAAGUGUUGAAUGUUUUCUCUUACGUUCCUUUUCUGCAAACUUUCCAACUUCUGUUUUAAUUUAUACUCCAUCUUUUAUAAUUCUCCCCUUAUCAGACCUUAAAUGUGACUGAGACGUGCUAAUUAUGUGUUUAUCCGUGGAGGGAUAUUUGAG
rnacentral:lncRNA from 1 species